rnacentral:lncRNA from 1 species
GCCAUUGGCAACUCUCCUCCCCAUAGAUCAUUGUUCCAACCACCCCCCAGUAACCAAGAGCCCUGUCUCAUAUCUAGGAAUUCCAACCAAACCCAUGAUUAUAGUGCUUUAGAUAGUACACACAGCAUACCUUUUUCUUCAACAAUAACCAUUACAUACUUUCACUAAGUUGUUGCAUGCUCAAUUACCCAACAACAUGAAAAAAUGCUUAAUGCAAAUAAAAUGGUGAAGCAAUUGCAACAAAAUGGUGGAAUUCUUCAAUCUUCAAUGAGCAAAAAGAGGUAAUAGAAAAAGCAGCAACAAAAACAAAACAAAAAUAGUGAGAAUGGUAGCCAAAGUAUGAUAAAUAUAAUUGGUAAUAAAAAUUAAAAUUGUGAUGUUGAUUUAAUUAGCAUAUAAUAUGCAUGGAAACAUGUGACUUACUUGAUAAUGC